UACGAAGGGGGCUAGCGUUGCUCGGAAUCACUGGGCGUAAAGGGUGCGUAGGCGGGUCUUUUAAGUCAGGGGUGAAAUCCUGGAGCUCAACUCCAGAACUGCCUUUGAUACUGAGGAUCUUGAGUACGGGAGAGGUGAGUGGAACUGCGAGUGUAGAGGUGAAAUUCGUAGAUAUUCGCAAGAACACCAGUGGCGAAGGCGGCUCACUGGCCCGUUACUGACG
rnacentral:rRNA from 1 species